UUGGGUUUCCUCAACGGUGCAAGGGGAAGCAGGAAGAAACCACAUUUUUCCACCCAAUAAAUGUUUGUUGAGGUGGGUGCUAGGCUAGGGACACUGAGCAAAACAAGACAGGGCUGCCUUUUGCAGCUUCCAGUGUGGCAGAGGACAGAGAGUGGAAUCCUAUCAACCCCCCUCUCCUUCCAAGAUGUGACUUCUUUCUUUUUUCUUUCUUUCUUUCUUUCUUUCUUUCUUUCUCUUUCUUUCUUUCUUUCUUUCUUUCUUUCUCUUUCCUUCUUUCUCUUUCCUUCUCUCUUUCUCUCUUUUUCUUUUCUUUCUUUCUUUUUCUUUCUUUUCUUCUUUUUCUUUCUCUCUUUUCUUUCUCUUUCUCCUUCUCUUUCUUUCUUUCUUCCUUCCUUUCUUUCUCUUUCUUUCUCUCUUUUCUUUCCUUUUCCUUCCUUCCUCCCUUCUUCCCUUUCUCUCUUUCUCUCUUUUCUUUUCCUCCCUUCCUCCCUUUUUCUCUCUUUCUCUCUUUUUCUCUCUUUCUCUCUUUCUU
rnacentral:lncRNA from 10 species